AGUGAACGCUGGCGGCAUGCCUAACACAUGCAAGUCGAACGGCAGCACAGUAAGAUCUUUUCCUUACUGUUAGCGACUGGCGGAUGGGUGAGGCAUACAUCACAUUCUACUUUUUCUGGGGGGAUUACGGAAAGAAAGUGACAAUAAUAGCUCAUAUUUUCUACCGGUGGAAUCAGGAGAUCAUCACACUUUUCGCGUCACAUUGAGACGGUUCCGCGCUGCAUUAGCUAGUUGGUAAGGUAACGGCAUACCAAGGCAACGAUGCAUAGCCGACCUGAGAGGGUGAUCGGCCACACUGGAACUGAGACACGGUCCAGACUCCUACGGGAGGCAGCAGUAGGGAAUCUUCCGCAAUGGGCGAAAGCCUGACGGAGCAACGCCGCGUGAGUGAUGAAGGUCUUCGGAUCGUAAAACUCUGUUAUUAGGGAAGAACAUAUGUGUAAGUAACUGUGCACAUCUUGACGGUACCUAAACAGAAAGCCACGGCUAACUUCGUG
rnacentral:rRNA from 1 species